GGUCCGCGGCGGCGACCUUGGCUGUCUGGGAGCGAGCAUGGCGAAUAAAGAGCCGAGCAAGUUCCUUCAGCAGUUGAGGGACAUCGCCAGUCGCAUGUCCUCUGGCUCAAGGGGAGCAGGGUUGGGACUGAAGUUACUCAUUGGUGCUGGGGCUCUUGCCUAUGGAGUCAAAGAAGCUACAUAUACAGUGGAGGGCGGUCAGCGGGCAAUCAUCUUUAACAGAAUUGGUGGAAUGCAGAUGGACACCGUACUGGCUGAGGGGCUUCACUUUAGGAUGCCAUGGUUUCAAUAUCCCAUUAUUUAUGAUAUCAGAGCCAAACCACGGAAGAUUUCCUCUUUGACUGGAAGUAAAGACCUGCAAAUGGUGAACAUUGCCCUCCGUGUGUUGUCACGACCUGUGGCCUCGAACCUCCCUGUCAUGUACCAGCACCUGGGAACGGAUUAUGAUGACCGUGUGCUGCCCUCCAUUGUUAAUGAGGUCCUCAAGAGUGUGGUGGCCAAAUUCAACGCCUCCCAGCUCAUCACGCAAAGAGCUCAGGUUUCUUUGCUGAUUCGUCGAGACCUGUUCGAGCGGGCUAAAGACUUCAACAUCAUUCUUGAUGAUGUGGCUAUCACAGAGUUGAGCUUCAGUAAAGAGUAUACAGCAGCUGUGGAGUCCAAACAAGUUGCCCAGCAGGAGGCUCAAAGAGCUCAGUUCUUUGUUGAGAAAGCCAAACAAGAACAGAAGCAGAAAAUCAUCCAAGCUGAAGGAGAAGCCCAAGCAGCCAAAAUGUUAGGAGAGGCGGUUACAAAGAAUCCUGGAUACCUAAAACUCCGAAGAAUCCGAGCCGCUCAGAACAUCGCCAAAACAGUUGCAGCCUCCCAGAAUAGAGUUUACCUGAAUGCAGACAGUCUAGUCCUGAACCUCCAGGAUGACUCUUUUAACAAAUUGUCGCUUGGAAAGAAAUAAGCUGUGCAGAAAGCACUUUCGUUGUGUCUUGGAGGUUCUGCUCACAGCAACCAGGAGCAUGCUCUUAAGACCAUUACUACACCGGAGAAUGGAAGAUGGAGGGGAGGGGUUGUUCUCUGACAGAAGGUAAUAUGACACCUGCUAAUCUCCUCAGAUGGUGCACUGUCUUCACCACAAACAGAAAGAGGUGGUGCUGCCAAAAGAAAGAGCAAAGCGUUUGUAGCAAAAACUCAGAAGUCAUAACUUUUACAGGAGAAGGAAAAAAUAUUCUUAAUUUUUAAAUAUGGUCGUGUAAUGAGAUUUUAUUCCAAGCCAUUUCGGAAUAUUUCUAUUGGUCAAAGGAUUGUGAAAUUUUCACCUAACGAAAUGUGCAGGUGAUGUUUUCUAAUGGUGUAAAUAAUUGUGCAAACCAUAAACAGUAGUUAAACAUCCAUCCAUGAUAAUUCAGAAGUGUAGAGGGCUUCUAAAGUCGUAUUGGUGUCUGCGCUACACAGAAGAAAGAUGGAAACUGACCACUAAAAACAUAGUGGACCUUUACAUAUAACUGGUCGAGUGAGACUGGGAUUGAUUUGAUGGGAUUGAAACGAAAAUGACUCAAAAGGAGGAUCCACAGCUUUGUGCAGUAUAGACUGACAGAGACUGGAUGGAGGCUGUAACUGCCAGGGCCAGAAGAGAGACGAAUUGAGAUAAAGAAGGCCAGAUGGGUGAGGAAGAGAGAUUAGCUUUGUAGUAAUACUAUAUCUCUUUGUGCAGGAUCUCUAGUGUUCCUGAACACAGGACCUUCACUUAAUCUGGUCUGUUUUGUGGUCAUAAACUAUGCGGUACUAGAAAAUGUCCCUGUUUUCAAUAGUGUUCAAAUUAAGGGUUGGUGAAAUGGCAAAAGCAUAACGUCACUAUGCUUGAAGACAUUUUUAUUAUAAACAAUAUGUAUUACAAUAUUUGGUUUCUGCACACAAGUUGGAAUGGACAAAAUGAAUCAGUGCAACAUUCAUUUUUAUUUUUUAUAACUACUUGUUCUUAUGCCAUGUAUGCAGCUACUACUGGUUUUUGUUGUAAACAGGCUCAUGUAGUUGUUCAGUGUUGUAUGGAUGAUGCCUGUGAUAUAUUCAGAAAAAUGUAUACAGUCAGAAGCAAACGUUUGGGCAUUCCUGGUCAAAUUAUAUGUUUUGUACAUUUUUAAAGUGAAAAACGUUUACGUGUAUAGUAUAUAGUAUAAAGUUAAGCAGGCUGUGCAAACCUUAUGGCAUAUUUCAUAAUCUAUAUUUUCCAAUGUGUUAAACUCA